GCCAGUUGGACCCCGUGAUAAGAGUUGGACCCCGUGAUAAGAAAUUAUAGGUGAUAACAGAAAUUAAAAGUUCGAACACUAACCUCAAAUCGCAAAAAUUCAAAUUAAUACCAACUAUUCAACAUUGUAAAUAAUUCUACUACGAUUUUUGAGUAUAUAAAUUUCUCAGCCUGGUCCCCCGAACCAGAUACAUUAUUUAUCCGUCGUAUUCUGUCGGUCGAAAUUAAUAAAUUACCGUUAUUCAACAUUUUAACGACUUUAACGGGCAACGAAUAACGAUUACUUGUUUUACGUUUGCUGCCCCUGGCUGGAAGUUUGGUUCAACAUUUAACAUAAGUAAAACUUGUGUAUAGUAAGUGCCUAAAUCAAUUGUUUGUAAUAUAUUUGAAUGUUUAUUAAUUAAUUAAUAUCCAACUAGUACAUGUUUAACAUAAUUAACAGUGUAACAACAAUUCAUAACAAAAUUAAUCUGAAAGAAAAAUACUACAAGGAUUAUCAGAGAAUCUGUACAGUAACUGAACAGAAACAAUGAUCUGUUGAUGUUUUUGAAGAGGACUGUUCUCCAAAAUCAUGACUAUGUCCACAACAAAUUGGACCUUAGUACCUAUGUUGUAAAUACUGUGAAUAUUGUAAUUCAUUUAAAUUUAAUUUUCUACUUGUCCACUUACAAAAAACUAUUCAACUGGGGAAUUAAUUGUACUUAUUAUUGUAGGCGGUCUGUUAUUGUUCAAUGUUAUAAAUUAUAAUAUUCCUUUUAUUAUUAAAUUAUGUAAUUUAUUAAGUUUAUUGUUAUUGAAUUAUUUUAUUUAUAAAAUUUACUGUUAUUUAAUUAUAUUAUUAUUAAGUGAGUAACUACCAGUAAAAAAUUAUACUUUAUUUUUUCAAAAAUGAUGAUUUUAAAAUAAAUUAUAGAGUUAAUAAACUAA